rnacentral:rRNA from 1 species
CGUUAGCGGCGGACGGGUGAGUAACACGUGGAUAACCUACCUAUAAGACUGGGAUAACUUCGGGAAACCGGAGCUAAUACCGGAUAAUAUAUUGAACCGCAUGGUUCAAUAGUGAAAGACGGUUUUGCUGUCACUUAUAGACGGAUCCGCGCCGCAUUAGCUAGUUGGUAAGGUAACGGCUUACCAAGGUAACGAUGCGUAGCCGACCUGAGAGGGUGAUCGGCCACACUGGAACUGAGACACGGUCCAG